UUCUCGCUGACGAGUCCUGAAUAGGACGAAACGCUAGUUCUGGAU
rnacentral:hammerhead_ribozyme from 1 species